rnacentral:lncRNA from 1 species
AAAGCUUGAAAACUAAGAGCAAUUGCCUGUCAUAUGUCUCAAGCAUCCGCUGUCCAAGUACCAUUUGUUCUUUCUCUUCUUUGAUCCCUGCAAAAGAAAUCUCAAGUUUUAGGUAUCCAAAGAUUUUUGGGUCUUUGAGCGUUAGCAAUGGUUAAUUUUAGAACCCAAGUACAUUUGAUUCCAUAAUAUGCAUUUCUCUUAACUGGAAAUCUAUAACUCAUGUGACCAUUUCUAUUGCAAUAAUAGCAUACAAUUUGAUCAUUAAUGGAGGUAGCCUUAACAAAGUAAUGCUUGUAAUACCUUUGUCUCAAAUUUGGCUUAUAGCCAAUACCUACUUUCUGAAAAUCACAUUUUUGAGAGCUAAGCAAAUUAUCUAAAAUCUUUUUCCCAUUUGUAAAUUUUAAUAUAAUAUUGUUAAGCUUAUCGCUCUUUUUUGUACGCGUUUCAUUUUCCUUUUUUAAAUUAUUUACAGUAAACCUUCAUUCCUAGAUGAAACAUUUUAUUUUUCUUUAAAGAAUACAAUUUCUUCAUGCAAACUUUUUUUUCCUACUUCUAGGCACUUAAUCUUUUCAUUUAAAGUACAUUCUCAUUUGAAAAGUUUUACAUUUUUCUUUUUAAGAGAAGCAUUUUUCAUUCCUUUCUUCUUUAAGUAAUUAUGUAAUUCAGUAAAUGCUUCAAACAACUCAUCAUAAGAAGUGUAACAUCCAUUCUUUUUAUGUUUUAAUUUCAUUAUGCUUAUACAUUCACCUGUUUAUCUUUCGUUUGAGUGAUUUUAUUUUAAUUAACAUUAUUUGAGAAAAGUCAUAAAUUUUUUUUAUUAAUCUAUUUUUAUUAUUUACUUUUCUAAAAUAAAAUAUAAAGGAUUACCAUCUUUAUCAUAUAAUGUAUUUUUUUUAAAGCAAGUAUUUUAAUAAAACAUAAACUCUUCCUUUUUCCCUAUGAUUAAAAUUCUUUAACCUAAUAACUAUAUAAAAGCAAAGAAUUCUAGGGUUUUCUUUUAUGCAUGUUUGAAACAAGUUUUGAGGUAAUUAUCUUUCUCUAAUACAUGUUCUCUAAUCUUAUGUAUUUCAUAAUGAAUGCAUGCAUUGUUCUCUUUAUCAUGAAUGACUUGCUAGGCAUUAUGAGGCAUGAGUGUUAUGAUUUGAUUACUAUUUAUUUUUUAUUCAAUUUCUACACCAAAUUUUCAAAAUAUUAAACUAGACAUCCUAAGGUUUUCAAUGAUAUAUAUUUUUUCAAGGAGAUUCCAAUUAAUCAAUUUGUUGUGAAUUUUUGAAGUUGGAACAGUGAUGCUGGAAAAUUUUGAUUUUCAGCAGCAUGACUGAUUUCACGAUUUUUCUGUCUAUCUAAAUGAUCUCUGAAAAUUAUGUUGAUUUUUUUGUUUAAUCUUCAUUAUGUCAAAUUAUUGCAUGUUUAAUUUCAUAAUUUUUGGUUGUGUAAAAAAAUUAUAAAAAAUCAUUAUGUUGGGUUGCUGCAGUUCUGGAAACUGCUUUCCAGAAUUGCGGUUGCUGAUGGUGAAAUUAGUUUAGGCUAUUAAAAGGCUUUAGAAUGACCUAUAAAAAUUAUAUCCAUAUAAAAUUAUGAAUCCUAUAUGAUUUAUAAGUUAUGAGUUUGCAUUAAGUUAUGAAUUUUUGAAGUGCGGAACAUGAACCUGAAAGUUCCUGGAUAUGUUUGCUGGUCUCUUAAUAUAAAUUUGUUUAAAAUAGUUUUACAUCUUUAAAAAUUCUAGAAAUUUGAUAUAUUACUUUGAUUGUUUUGGAUUUUUAUAAUUUUCUAACAUAUGGUUAGCUUAGUAAAAAUCAGCUUGUAUAGGAUGGUCAGGUUUAGACUAGCUUUGAUAGUUUAGUACUUAUGACUAGACUUGAUUAUGUUGGAUUUAUAUCAAGGUCAAAAUAAGCAAUAAUAUUGAUAAGAAUGUGUCUUGAUGUUUUUGGACGAGAGUGAGCUCGUGGUUGAGGUUACCGUUCUUUUUAUUGUUGAGGAUCGAGGUAAGUAGAUUCUUGCAUGAUACAUGUAUUUCACUAUUAAUUUACUUUUAAUUUGAGUUAUGUAUUAUGUUAUAUGAAAAGUAUAUGAAACUGAUUUGUUUUAGUCUAUUAUAAUAUUUUGUUAAGUAAAAUCAUUUUUUAAAAUUAUUUAUAAUAAACUUUAUUUAUUAAAACUUGUUUUAUAAAUUGUCUUAAAAUGAAAGCUUUCAUUUUAAUAAGUCAAAUACUUUGAAAUAAUUAUGAAUUAUUUAAAUGUAAUUUAUGGAAGUUUACAAAUGAUUAAAAGUUCAAAGAUGAUUUUAUGUAUUUUGGCUCAUUGUCCGCAGUGAUGUUAUGUUAUGUUAUGGAAGAUUAGCCAGAUUUUGUGCAUAUAUGAUGUUAAUGUUAACGAUUUUCGCGGGGUACAGUACCCUGAAUGAUGUUAUAUGGCUGGGUCACCGGGUCUACUGGUGAUACUAUGUGACAUGAGCUAAUUACAUUUUACGUGUUUAAAAUGUUUUAUUUAUGCUUAAAGGAUUUAAAUGACUUUAUGAUGAUGUGAUUUAUUUUUACUAAAUGAUGAGUUACAAAGGUAAUAUUUCUUAUUAUUAUGUAUAUCUAAGAUUCUUUAUUAAAUUGUUUUUAAUGACUUUUAGUAUUGUGUAUGAAUUUACUUACUGAAUUGACGGUUCACCCCUUGUUACCACAUUUUUGCAGAUAGACUUAGAUGAUGCGAGCUCAUGGUCUUCAGAGGGAGAAUAAGAGCUCUGUUUCUUUUGAGGAUUAAUGUUACGUUGAUAAUCUAAGAACAAUUUAGCUUCUUUUAGGAUGAUAGUUAUUGAGGAUAUGUUAUUUCAAAAUUUAUUUAUAUUCUUUUGGAGGUUUAGAAAAUUUAUUAUUGGUUAUUACUUUGAAAGUUUUAAAUAUGAGAAUGAUGAAAUCCGGUUCACUUCAAUUCUACCGUAGUGCCUUGUUAGUGGAAUUAGAGUGUUACAAGAAGGAAGAUCAUUUAUCUCAUCAAGUUCUUCUCCUAUUGCCAUAAAUGCCAAGUUUGGCACUUCAUGUGAUUCUUCCUCAUCUGAGAUCUCCUUAUCGCUAUCAUCCCACGUUGGCACCAUAACUUUCUUUUUCGCCUUGUUGAGAAGAGGACGUUAUGAUUUUUUUUGUCCAGGCUUUUUGCAUUCAAAGCAAAUAAUUGUCUCCUUCUUUUCCUUCUGACUUUUAAAGUUCCUGAACUUCUUCCGCUCAUUAGAUUUCUUUAAAAACUUCCUUGAUUUUCUGGCUAUCAUAACCAUAUCUUCAUCUUCAAAUUUGCUUUCUUCGUCACUUUCCAAUCUUGAAGCUCUCAUGGUAAUGCUCUUCUUCUUUUUAUCUUUAUCACCUCUUUUAGUUGCCAAAUCCUUUUUAUAAGAAAUAAGUGAGCCAAUUAAAUCAUCAAUAGAUAUAGUAUUUAAAUCAUUGGCUUCGUCAAUGGUGGUUCUCUUAGAUCUCUAUUCUUUUGAUAAAGGCCUAAUGAUUUUCUAUACCUUCUCGCCAUUUGAAAAAGUUUUCCUUAGGGCUCCUAAGUAUUUACUAUAUCUGUAAAUCUAGUAUGCAUCAAAUGUACAAUUUCAUUUUGUUCCAUUUCGAACAAUUCAUAUUGCCUGAUGUAUUUACUAAUUUUAGACUCUUUAACUUGCUUUCUUCCUUCAUAAACAACUUCUAAAUUUCUCCAAAUUUCAUAUGCAUUGGAACAAACUGAAACUCUGUGAAACUCUUUCUUAUUUAAUGUACAAAAUGAGACAUUCAUUGCUUUGGAGUUUAAAAAUGUCUUCUUCUUUUCUGCCUCACUUAAUUCACGUGAAGGAUUUGGAAUUUCUUCCAUUUUUUUGUUUUUAGUGGUUAGCAUGAAUGGACAAUCACUAACGAUUUCCCAUAUUUUAUAAUAUAUGGCCUGUAAGUAAAUUCUUAUGCCAUUUUUCUAAUAUAGGUACUCAUUUCUGUAAAAACAAAUAACGGUAUAGGGGUAGACUGUCCUAACAAGAGAACCUUACUUUGAUACUAAAUGAAAUUCUGGCUAAGCAACCCAAGAGGGGGGUAAAUUGUGUUUUUUUUUAAAAAAUUAAGCAAAUAAAAGUAUACAACAAUAAUUAAUUUAAAGAAAUAAGGGAGAAGAGAGCAAACAUGAUAUUUUAAUGUGGAUUGGCAAACUUUACCUACAUUUGUGCCUCCAAGCUAACCGAGCUUGAGGAUUCCACUAUCUAAACCUUUACAACCUAAGGCUUCAAGAUGUUUACAAUUGACUUCCAAGGUGUCAAUUAGGGGUGGGCAUUUUACCCGACCCGACCCGACUCGAAAAAUUUCGGGUUCGAGUCGGGUUUACCCGAUCAGGUUGUAAAAAAAAAAAACCAAACUAAACCUAAACACACACACGCAGCACACUGCGCAGUACACACGCAAAGUCACUCACAACAAUUCACAAAUUCACAAACGCACACAGCCACACACCACCACAAGACAAACAAGAAUCAUUCACAACUUCACAAUUUCACUAUCAACACUCAACACAAACAAGCCAGCCGCAGCCAGCCACCACAAGACUCACACACACCAUGACACAAGACACAACCCUGAACCGCAAUCUGUUGCUACCAACUGCUGAAACCGCGAUUUGGUGCUGCCAAGUGAAGCAGCAACCAGCUACUGCCAAGUGAAACCCGUCCAGCCGUGAGCCGUCCGCGAUCUGCUGCCAAGUGAAGCCGCGAUUUGCUGCCGAGUGAAAUCGCGUCCAGCCGUGAGCCGUGGCCACCGAUCUGCUGCUUGAAGGCCGAAUCCUCACAACCCGACCCGACUUUCUCCCCACCCGAACCCAAUUUUGAAGCUUUCUACUUUCAAGCUUCAACUUUCAAGUUUCAUAAGUAAUAACUUUCAUGGUAUAUAUAUACUAUAUAAUUAUAUAUGCUUAAUUAGUUAUUAUGUAAUUGGUUAUUAUUUGAUUGUUGUAAUUAUGUAUUUAUAAAUAUUAGUAAUAAAAAUUGGUGUAUUUAUGAUUUUUUUAUGAAUAAAUUUUUAUUAAUUGUUAAUAAAUAACAAAACUUUUGUUAAUUAUUAAUAAUUGAAAUAAUAUUAAUUGAUAAUUGUUAAUAAUUUUUAUUUGUUAAUAACAGUUAAUAAUUGAUUUUUUAUGAAUAAAUUAGCACAUUAGGUAGAUUAAAUAUUGAAAUUAAGUAUUAUGUUGCAUAUAUUUUAUAAUUAUAAUGUGUUAUGUGAUUUUGUGCACUUGUGCAGUAGCUUCAAGCCUUCAACCUUAAAAAAAUUAACUCAUUCAAUUAAUAUUUUAUUGUAUGUUAAAUUGUUAAUCAUUCGUUAAUCGUUAAGUACAAGUAAUUUGGGCUUGAAAUUAAAGGGUUUAUAAUAAGAAUUAAGACAUAGAUAGGUAAAUAAUAUCAUAUUAUUAUAAGGAAUGGGUAAUUGGAUAUUAUUAAUUAAUUAAUUAAUUAUGAAUUUCUUGCUUUUUCUUUAUGGAGUAUGAACAAUUUGAAUUGAAAUUACUAAUUAGAUUAUGUUAAUAAUAUUUCUAUGUUUUGAUUUUUGAAUUAAUGAUUAUUUUUUAUAUUCAGAUGCUUGGACAUUCAAGAUCGAAUUCAAUGAGUGACGAAGGAGAACAAAUUGUACAAAUGGAAGGAACUCAAAGAGGAAAGGAAAAGGCAAAGCGGAAAAGACCGCCAAUGAAGAAAAGAUCAGAAGUGUGGAAUCAUUUCACUUUACUCGAAGAUAAUCCAAACAAAUGCAUGUGCAACUAUUGUGGUAGACAAUAUCAAUGUCAUUCAAGGCUUGAUGGGAUUACAAAUAUGACAAGGUAUUUAAAGACAUGUCAAUUAUACAAGACAUUUCGCGAACAACAAAGUGGAAGUCAACAAAAUUUUACAGCUGAGGGCGGCGAAGAAAAUGCAAGUAAUUUUGUUUUGGGUAAAGGAUGGAGUCAAGACACGUGUCGAAGGACAAUAACUAAAAUGAUUAUUAUGGGUGAGUUGCCGCUCAGUUUUGUAGACAACAAAGGAUUUAGGCAUUUCUACAGUGUAGCUAUCCCGCAGUUCGUUAUGCCAUCUCGAAGAACUAUUGGUAGAGAUGUUAUGGAGUUAUUUUUGGAGGAAAAGGCAAUGUUGAAGAGUUUGAUUUGCAAUAACAAGCAGCGGGUGUCUCUUACAACUAAUUUAUGGACUUCUGUUCAAAACAUGAGUUACAUGGUGAUUACAACUCAUUUUAUUGAUAGUGAUUGGUGUUUGAUUAAGAGGAUUAUUAGUUUUAACGCAAUCAAAGAUCAUAGAGGGAAGUCGAUUGGCAAAAAGAUUAUGGCUUGCUUACAGAACUGGGGGAUUGAGAGGUUGUUUCCAAUAACUAUUGAUAAUGCCACUACAAAUGAUAUUGCUAUUGGUUAUGUCACUAUGCAGUUGCUUGCUUGGAAGAAUGAUGAUGCACUUGUGUUGGCGGGACAAUUUAUGCAUGUGCGUUGUUGUGCACAUAUUUUGAAUUUGAUUGUUGUUUUAGGAUUGGGUGAGUUGCAUGCUAGUGUUGCCGCUAUUCGGAAUGCUGUGAAGUACGUGAGAUCCUCCACCACGAGGCUGGGAACAUUUAAACAAUGUGCUGAGCAAGUGAAUUGUCCAAAGGGAAUUGUUGUUUUGGAUUGUCCUACUAGGUGGAAUUCCACUUAUUUGAUGUUAUGACUGCGCUGAAAUUUCAAGCGGCAUUUAAUAAAAUGACAGAAGUGGAUAAAUCGUAUGAGGCAUACUUUGCUAAGAAAGAGAAUAAUGUUAGAAGGGUGGGCCCGCCUGGAUCGGAUGACUAGGAGAAUGCUGAACGAAUUAUGGGAGUCCACGAGAAAGAUAAACAAAAUGUUGAUUAUUGCCUCUAUUCUUGAUCCACGAGCGAAAAUGGAUUUUGCUAAACAUAUUUUUGAGAUCAUUUUUGGCAAUGAUAAUUUUAUGGUUGAACAAAUGACCAAAGCAGUGAAGGACUUGUUGAAUGAGUUUUAUGAUGCAUAUAGUGCAUUCUCCGCUUGUUCCACACCAUCGAUGUAUAGUGAGAGUGGUCUUAAUGGCAGCUAUGGAGGUACAAGUUCUUCUUAACAUUUUACAACUGAGGCUAAUUUGGUGGAUGUUGCUGGUGGUGAAGGUGAUGACGCUUUUCUUGUUGCUCGCCCUUUCUUUGGAUAUGCCAGGAAGGUUUCUAUUCAGAAUGAGAGCAAAAGAGUAGUAUCUGAGGUGGAAAGGUACUUGAAGGACCCAGUUAAAGAUCCCAUCAAUCUUAAACUUAAUGUUUUGCUUUGGUGGAAGGUGAAUGGAUCGAGGUAUCCAAUUCUGGAGAAAAUUGCAAGGGAUGUACUGGCUGUUCCUGUUUCCACAGUGGCAUCUGAGUCUGCCUUUAGCACCGGGUGUCAUAUUAUUGAUGAGUAUAAGAGUUCUUUAACCCCGGCUAUGGUUGAGGCAUUGAUAUGCACUGAAAAUUGGCUGCAGUCUAAACUUUUUGCCAAUCUCGUCUACAACCUCCAAGAAAAUAUUAAGGAGCAAAUGUUUCAUAUGGAAUUACAAGAAGGUAAUGUUUUUAAUUUUUUAUCAUACAUUAUAUACAUAAUGUAUUUAAAAUGUAUUAUAACGUUAUAUAGAACAUCUACAUGUAGUCAUGUACUUGAGUUACUAAUUUUUUUUUUUUUUUUGGAUUUUAUAGAGCUUAUAAGAUCGCAAGCUUUGACAGUGGAAGCGGUGAGCACCGACAUUGGUGUUAUGGAUGUUUGAAAUGUAACUUUUAAUGUAUAUUAUUAUUCAUAAUUUGAUAUUAUAGUACUAUUAGUAUUAGGUUGUAAUUUAAACUAUAAUUAUAGUUGUUAUAGUUUUAAAUUUUUAAGUCUAAUUAUAGUUUGUAAAAUUAUAAAUUUGUAAUUGUUUUAGUUAGACAAGUUGAAGUUGAUAGAAUGGUAUUAUUCUCUAGUAUUAUUAUUAACUUGAUUUAGUGAUGAAUGCCAUAAAAUAAGCAUGAUUGACUUAAUUAUAUAUAUAUAAAGUGUGUGUGUAUUGAAAAAUUUGCUAAACAUAUUAUAUUUAUUUGUAAUUAUAAAUUUAUAAUGAUAUAAUAGAAAUUAGAAAGAUUGUAACACCCCUUUAGCUCAAUUAAAAAUAUGAAUUGGAUUUAUUUAUUUGUGUUUGUGUUUGAUGUGUAACCUUAUGAAUUUGGUUUAUUUGCUCAAUUUUUUAUAUGAAUUGUUCAUUUGCAACGUGGCUUAAAGAAAAUAGUUAUUGUACAUUUCUUCAAUCUUUCUCUAGGGAAUCGGCGCUUGAACUUGGAGUUCAAGAAUUUAAAUUUAGAACUUGUCAAAGUGCUUGCAUGGAGCUAUGGAGGAACCAAGGUGGAGGAACCAAUGAAGCUUAUUUAGUUUUAAUGUUUGAACUUUGAACUUUGUGAUUUGUGUUUCAAACUUUCAAAGACUAAUAUUUGGAAAUUGUGCUUUGGACUUUGUAAGUUUGUAUUAAUUUUAACUUUUGUUAAGUUUGGACUUUGUUGGCUGAGCAAAUAAGCAUCCUAAUCCUACCCUCCAAGCCAAUAGGCAAAUAAUCUUAUCCUAGCAUUUUAAUUUUAUUCAUUUGAUUUAAUAGCAUUUUCUUUUCUUUUUUUUUAGUUGAAAAUUAGUAAAAAUGACUACAAUUAAGAAAAAUGUCUUAAAACCACCUUAAAAACUACAAAAAUAGGAAAAAAAAGCUCUCAAGAUAUUGACCCGACCAGAUUUGACCCGAUUUCAACCAACUCGAACUGACCCAAUUUGACCCGAACUGACUCGAUUAGACCCGAAAUGACCCGAACUCAAUCCGACCUGUUUUAAAUUCAACCUGAUCCAACCCAAACUUAACCCGAAUUAUUGACCCGACCCGAUCCGACCCGAAUAUCAAUAAUUCGGGUUAAGUUUGGAUUGAUUUUUGUCUAACCCGAACAACCCGAAACCCGAUCGGGUUGACCCGAACCCGACUCGAACCCGGUUUUGCCCACCCCUAGUGUCGAUAAAACCUUUACAAUAUGAGAUAAUCUCUCACCCCUUUCCCAAGGUUUUCCCACGUUUACAUCACUCAAAUUUGAAGAUUAAAAAUAGAUUUUCCCUUACGCAGUGUAUGUGUUUACAAAUGAAAGUUCAAAGUGUGAUUUGAUAAAGGAAUAAACAAAUUUUAGCUCAGAACAGAUUGAACAAGCAAUGAUAAACUUGAUGAUAAUCGUUGAACACAUUUAUAAAUUAUAUUUGAUGAAGCCUUUUAUAUAUGAAGAAGAAAAUUGGUGGUUGUUGAUUUUCUAAAAAUUAUUGGAUCGCCGUUAACCUUAGCAGAUUUACUAUUCUGACUUGUGGUAAGUAACUGUUAUGCUGAAAUUGAAUUAUUGAAUCACCAUGUGAAAUUAUCGAUAUACCAUUUAAUUCCAGAGAGUUCACUGAUUAAAGUGGCUUGUUGUUUUCGCAUAAUGGUUUGCUAUUUAAUUCCAGAAGCUCACCUGUUUGAAGUUAGUUUACCUUCUGCGAGUAAUGGUUUGUCAUUUUUAGAUAAAUUCAUUUUUAGAAUUUAUCAGUUAGUCGUCUUCUCAUAAACGGUUAACUGUUAAUUUCUAGAAGCUAUUAAUAACUCAACCAUAUGUUAUUAGUUUUGUUGUUUUAAACUUAAUGGUUAUCUGUUAGUUUCCCGAACCUUAAUCUUGUCCAGAAUAUUAUGCGGCCUAAGAAAUUUGAUCAAUUUAAAGACUCCAUCAUUUUUAAUCUUAUUUGUUAUCAUCAAAAUCAAUGUUAUAAGAAUGUUUAUGUCAACAAUGGCAGGUGCGACCAUGUGAGGCUUUGUGUGUGUGUAUGUAAGUGUGCGUGGUUGUGGGUUUGGUUUUUUAUUUUUUUUCCUUAAUCUAAUUGGAUUGUCGGAUCAGAUCGGGUUUGAGCUGAUCCAUAUACAAUCCGAUCGGAUUAACAAAAGAUCAUCUAAUCUAACUUGUCCUUCAAUCCGCAUUUGAUCUAAACCCGAAAUAUUCGAAUCUGAUAGGGUUAUUUGCUCACCUUUAGACUAUAGAUGUUUAUAAUGAUGGUUUAUAAAUAAUAAAGGUCAUCUUUGUCAUUACAGUAUAAUGUUGUUUUUUCAUGUAACUGUCAUCUUUGAUGUUAUUAAAAAAAUAAAAAUUUUAAAACUAAUUCAAACGCUAUUUAAUUGUCAUUUUGUAUCGAAUAUACAUUUAUAAUUACUUUUGUACAAACCAUAUCAUAUACAAGAUAUUGCUUUGUAAAAACCUUAGAUAAUCCUUCAUCUUCAACAAAAUAUUAGCCAUUACAGUAAAAUUAUCAUAAAUACUCUUCAGUAUCUGACAAAAUCCACUACUAACUAACAAAGUUCUCAUAGUCUAAUAUAAAGAGCUUUCACAAUCUUUCAUCUUCAACAAAAUAUUAGCUCUCCCACAUGUACUCUAGCUACCACAUUUAAAUUCUCAUCAAGUCUUCAUGCAAUAUUUUCAAGCAAAUCAUACUGUCACUAGGAACCUACAACAUUUUUUUGCAAAGUAACAAAAAAAAAUAAGUAUAUCAAACUCAUUUGUUGCAAGUCAUAUUAAAUCAUGAUAAGUUAGAGAACAAAAUGCUAUUAUAUAUUUAUAGACUAGCCUUAAAUUAUCAAUCAAUUAAUUUUCAUAUGUAGCAGCAAGUUGCCAUGUAUAUAUCUAGCCCACUCCCAUCUAACCUCAUCAAUCUCUCCUUGAGCAUAGCUUUGUGUCUUUAAAAACUAUGAAGUGAAAAAUAUAUAAAUUACCUAGUUGUAAAAACAUAAAUGAAUAUUUAAUAAAAAUUGCCAAUAUCUUUUCUAGAAUAAAGACAUAGUAUUAGACAUAAUGUCUCAUAUAAUAUCUACAAUGCUCAACAUUUUUAGGUUGAUGAGGACACCACAAAAGAGAAAGUAAUAGAUUUAAGUUAUACAAUGAGCAAAUUCAUGUAACAACGAAUUAAAAAUCUUAUAUAAAACUAUUAUGAAUUUCAAUUUAAGACUCAUGUUCCUUACUUGCUACGAUUAAUUUUUCAUGUGCUGUGCUAAACAUUCUCAACGAACUUAAUUUCAAAAUUGAAAACCACAUAUUAGUAACUAAUAUAAGAAAAUACAAGUAAACAAGCACAAUUUCAUAACUUACUAAUUAAGAAGCUCUUUUAAGAUUUUAUCAAUAAAAAAGUCUAGUACUUCACAUUCCGAAAAUACCGGCUAAGCAACCCAAGAGGGGAGUGAAUUGAAUUUCUAAAAAUUAUAAAGUAUUUUAAAUAAAAAAUUUAAUGCAAAGAUAGAACAAAUAAAAACUAAAUAACAACAAUAAAAAUGUAAAGAGAAAAGAGAGAGAAAGAAUCAAACACGAGAUUUUUAUAUGGUUUGGCAACCUACGCCUAUAUCCACGCCUCCAAGCUCAUCGGACUUGAGGAUUUCACUGACCAAGCCUUACACCUUAAGGCUUCAAAUUUUUUUACAAUUGACUUACAAUGUGUCAAUCAACCUUUAUAACAAGAGGUUAUCCCAAACUUCUUAACUCAAAUGUUUCCCUCACUCUCAAACACUCAAUUUGAUAUUGAAAUGAAAAUUACACAAAAUGUUUCUUCAUACAAUGUAGGUGUUUACAAAGUAUGAUCUAAAAAGUUUUAAGCACAAGAGAUGUUUAAUGCACAACAACAAGCUCAAUGAUGAUUGCAGAAUCAACACUAAUUUGAAUUUGAUAGAGCCUUUUUAUAGUUGGAGAAGAAAACUAACCGCUGUUGACUUUCUAGGCAUAAUCAGAUCACCGCUAACCUCUGUCGAAUUGUCGUUUUGACUUUAUGCAAGUAAUUGUUAUGCUAAAAUUUGAAUAGUUAGUUUACCAUUUGAAGUUGUUGGUUUACCGUUAAAUUCUAAAAACUAAUUUGCUCAGGGUUGGCUUACCGUUUGGAGUUGUCGAUUUUCCGUUUAAUUCCAGAAAUCUGCAAGAAAUAAUUGGCUACCCGUUUGUGCUAAAUGGUUCACUGUUUUUAGCUAAAUUGCUCUCUGAAAUUUAUCAAUUAACUGUUUUCUAAUAAACAGUUCACCGUUUUCUCAUAAAGAGUUCACCGUUAUCUUUCAGAAUCAGAACUAAGUGUUAUCUUUAUAAAAUCGGUUUGCCGUUUCAAGAUUAACAAUUAUCCGUUUUUGUCCAGAUUCUUAAACGGUUAGCCGAUUAAUCAAAUUGUUGCAUAACGGUAACUUCCACAAGAUCAAAUGACGAUCCAAUAACCUCCAGAGUCUACAACAGCUAGUUUUCUUCUCUAACUAUAAAAGGCUCUAUCAAAUUCAAUUUAGAGUGAUUCUAUAAUUGUCAUUAAGCUUGUUUUUAAGCUUGUUUUUGCAUAUCAAACUGUCUUGAGUAUAAAUUUGUUUACUCUUUCAUCAAAUCACACAUUGAGUUUUCAUUUUUAAACACAUACAUUGUGUGAGUGAGAAUUUGUGUAAUAUUCACUUUUACAUCAAAAUGGAGUGAUUGAUAAUGUGGGAAUCACUUGGGAAAAGAGGUGUGGAAUCAUCUUAAAUUGUAAAAGUUUAUUGACACUUUAGAAGUUAAUUGUAGUCUUAUUGAAGUCUUGGGGUUGUAAGGCUUGAAUAGUGGAAUCCUCAAACUUAGUGAGGCUGGAGGUGUGGAUAUAGUCAGGUUUUGCCGAACCAUGUAAAAAUCUCAUGCUCGAUUCUCUUCCUUUCUCUCUUUAAAUUUUUUUAUUGUUAUUUAAUUGCUAUUGAUUUGGUUAUAUUAGAAAUUUACAUGUUUUUUUUAUAUUAGAAUGUUAAUUGACUAUAUGUAGUUCCAUCUUUAAAAAGUUCAGAAGCAAAUACUUUUUUUCUUUCAAUAAUUAUACAUAUGCGGCUACCCUAUAGUCUAUAGAAGAGUAUUGGCAAUAUUUAACUAGAACCAAAAUCUCCAUAUAUGCCAAUUUCUCCAAUUUUUAGAGAGUAAUUGUUUCCUUGAUUUUAGGCCACACCAUCCUUUAGUAAUAGGCAUUUCCGCAAUUACGGAUUGUUGAAUGGAUCUAUUAAAGGUAGGACACGUCCUUUUUAACUUCAAUAUUUUCUUUUGGUUGACCUAAAUUCUCAUGCAAUCAGAUUGUUUUGGUAUACCUUGUUUUGGUCGGAUUAAUAGACUUCUAGGUCGGACUUGUUAAGCUAAUUUAUCUUAAUAACACUGUAAAUUCUAGGCCAGCUUAAGUUGAUUAUUCUCUUUGGUGACAUUAGAAAAAUCCAGCCCCAAACAAGUGUCGAUGAAUGAAUAUCGGCAUCCAGAUGAUUGCGAAUCGAUUUUCAGAAAACACAUAACAUUAACUAGAAAAAUUCGGCCACAAAAAGCCUGUAACUACAGCUCCAUAAUCAUGCAGUCCAGACCAGCUGCCUUCCACGUAUUGCGUCAUCAGUUUAUAGUCCGAAAAUUUUUCUAAUUAUAUCACAAAAAGGUUGUUUGGUCCACUCAAAACUGUGUGUGGGCAGGGAUGGCAAAAUCCUUCGGGUCUGGGUCCGGGUUUAGCCUUUCCGGUUCUAGAUCCGGAUGAUAAUUUUGUAUUUCGGAUCCGGAUAUAAACCCGAAUUUUUUGGCUCCGGGUCCGGUGUCUGGGUUUCCGGAUGCCAGGUUUAAAACCCAGAUAACUAAAUGAACUAAAAAAAAUAAACCUCUUUCAGGUUAUGAAAAUUCCAGAAAGAGUUCAAAUCGCAAGCACUGAUGAAUUGAAGGAUUAUAGAUUCUUUACAAUUGAGACAACUUGAAUAUAAAUGAAUUGAAAUGAAUCAUGAUUUAGAGAUAAAAGUUGACCCACAUAUGUUAAUAUCACCUCAGAGCACUAUUAAUUCCCAAGAAGCAUGUAUGUUGAUGAUGUAAUCAAAGAUGAAUGGUGACGCGAUGAAGACGAUGGUGAAUCAUGGAUGGCAACGCGACGAUUUGAUGAAGACGAACGGUGGCGCGACGAUUUGAUGAAGAAGAACGACGACGGGAUGAAUUGAAUAUUGAGGAUGAUGAUGAGCUGUUGAUGAUGAUGCUUGGGGAUUACUUGAAUAUUGACAAGGAUGAUGACAAAUUGACGAAUGAAUUUAGGCUUUGUGGCGUGAAGAUUGAAGAAGGUGAGAGAAGAGGAGAAAUGGGGCUGUUGCGGCUGCUAGGGGUGGGCAAAAUCGGGUUCGGGUCAACCCGAUCGGGUUUCGGGUUGUUCGGGUUAGACAAGGAACAAUCCGAACAUAACCCGAAUUAAUGACCCGACCCGAACCGACCCGAACAUAGUUCGGGUCGGGUCAUUGAUUCGGGUUAUGUUCGGGUUGGAUUUAAAAUGGGUAGGAUUGAGUUCGGGUCAAUUUGGGUUAGUUCGGGUCAAUUCGGG